AGGUUAGAGAGGCAGGAUGACCUCUGGGCACCCAGGUCCGGUAGAUUGACUGCGAGCACCGACUUCUCCGGUCCAAAAGAUAUCACCACGCAGCACAGGUGUGAGGACCUUGUCGUCAAAACAUCUGAGGAGACAGAAAAAUGGGAACGAUGAUGCAUUCUGGAUAAUUGGAGUGUCGAGAAAACCGGAUGACUUUUGAACGUUUUGAAGUCUCCUCGACGAGGGAGUGGAGAGCCGGACCAGAACACAUCAUCUCCUUUUCCAAGGGUGAUGAACGAGAUGUACUGAACCUCACUGAGGAAACAGCACCGGCAGGAUUCAGCAGUGUGGUAGGACUGACUUUGGGUUGCAAUGAUUAUAAAUUUAUAAAAAAAAUUUGCCCCCUCAGAGUUUUCAUGAAU